rnacentral:rRNA from 1 species
UACGGAGGGGGCUAGCGUUGUCCGAAGUUACUGGGCGUAAAGCGCGCGUAGGCGGGUUGGUAAGUCCGCUGUGAAAGCCCGGAGCUUAACUCCGGAGGGUCGGUGGAUACUGCCAGUCUUGAAGGUGCUAGGGGGAGAUGGAAUUACCGGUGUAGCGGUGAAAUGCGUAGAUAUCGGUAGGAACACCAGUGGCGAAGGCGGCUUGCCAGAACGCGCUCGACGGUGAGGGAUGAAUGCUGGGGGAGCAAACCGG